rnacentral:rRNA from 1 species
CCUACGGGUGGCCGCAGUGAGGAAUAUUGGUCAAUGGGCGCGAGCCUGAACCAGCCAAGUAGCGUGAAGGAUGAAUGCCCUACGGGUUGUAAACUUCUUUUAUAAAGGAAUAAAGUGAGGCACGUGUGCCUUUUUGUAUGUACUUUAUGAAUAAGGAUAGGCUAACCCCGUGCCAGCAGCCGAGGUAAUACGGAGGAUCCGAGCGUUAGCCGGAUUUAUUGGGUUUAAAGGGAGCGUAGAUGGGUUGUUAAGUCAGUUGUGAAAGUUUGCGGCUCAACCGUAAAAUUGCAAUUGAUACUGGCAGCCUUGAGUACAGUUGAGGUAGGCAGAAUUCGUGGUGUAGCGGUGAAAUGCUUAGAUAUCACGAAGAACUCCGAUUGCGAAGGCAGCUUACUAAACUGCCACUGACAUUGAUGCUCGAAAGUGUGGGUGUCAAACAGGAUUAGAUACCCUUGUAGUC